rnacentral:tRNA from 2 species
GUAGCUCAGUUGGAUAGAGCACCUGCCUUCUAAGCAGGUGGUCGCAGGUUCGAUCCCUGCC